UAACGCGUGGGUAACCUGCCCCCUACCGGGGGAUACCACCUGGAAACAGGUGCUAAUACCGCAUAAGCGCACGGGAGCGCAUGCUCCUGUGUGAAAAACUCCGGUGGUAUGGGAUGGACCCGCGUCUGAUUAGCCAGUUGGCAGGGUAACGGCCUACCAAAGCGACGAUCAGUAGCCGGCCUGAGAGGGUGGACGGCCACAUUGGGACUGAGACACGGCCCAAACUCCUACGGGAGGCAGCAGUGGGGAAUAUUGCACAAUGGGGGAAACCCUGAUGCAGCGACGCCGCGUGAGUGAAGAAGUAUUUCGGUAUGUAAAGCUCUAUCAGCAGGAACGAGACAAGACGGUACCUGACUAAGAAGCCCCGGCUAACUACGUGCCAGCAGCCGCGGUGAUACGUAGGGGGCAAGCGUUAUCCGGAAUCACUGGGUGUAAAGGGAGCGUAGACGGCUGUGCAAGCCUGAAGUGAAAGGCGGGGGCCCAACCCCUGGACUGCUUUGGGAACUGUACGGCUGGAGUGCAGGAGAGGUAAGUGGAAUUCCUAGUGUAGCGGUGAAAUGCGUAGAUAUUAGGAGGAACACCAGUGGCGAAGGCGGCUUACUGGACUGUAACUGACGUUGAGGCUCGAAAGCGUGGGGAGCAAACAGGAUUAGAUACCCUGGUAGUCCACGCCGUAAACGAUGAUUACUAGGUGU
rnacentral:rRNA from 1 species